UUUUUUUUUUUUGGUUUUUUUUUUUUUUUUAUUUCCUUUGAAUUUUUGUUUGUGACUUUUUUGGCUUGCUGGAGCAUUUCCCUAUAAUCUUAGGAAGCCACAGCAAAUUUUCAAUGCCACAGCAACACUGUGCAGCCAAGGAGGGGCCCAGAGAGCUGAUCCUGGGGGCUGGAGCCUUUCAGCAAUCAUACAAGGUAGGGGGUAAGGAAGCUAUCCUUUUCUCUGAAUUUUCCUGGUUUAUUCAGUCUGCCAGGGACAGGGAUUUUCUUCGCGUAUCUUUCCUUCACUUACUUGAGGCUCUCCCUUCAAUGCCAAUGGCUUUCUAUUGCUUCUGAGAGAUGGUUCACAUGGCAGAGCACCCGCUUCUGUUCUAUAUUGAAACAUGGAAAGCUUUGAAAACUGGGAAGGACAAAGGAAAGGGGUCUUAGGGCAUCUGGGAAAUAUCAAAAAGAGCAUUAGGCUCACAGCUAGUUUUUGCCGGUCAUGUCUGUAACUUCUCUGUUCUCUACAGGGCUUCUCAGUGUUAGAGUACUGAAGGGGAUAACUCUAGGGUGCCAGCGAGGAUCUAACUGAUUCAGUAGAUGGAGCUCUUCGCCCUAAGUCUGGAUUUAAAUUAAAGUCCCACUGCAGUUGCUGGGACUCUCUGUAUUAAGGUGUGUCAUGAUACACACAUAAAACCAAAGCUUGUGUAGCUGCAGGAAGAGAUUUCCUGGCACUUUUUAAAGGCAUGAAGCAUGUGUUCCGAAACACAAAACUGCAGGGGAGCAGUAAAGAUAGAUAGGGUAGGAAGUGAAGUUUACCUAUCUAAACUUCUCCCUGUGGGUUUGAAUACUCCUAAGUGUGAAGUAAAACCCAGUUACCAUACAAGGGACUGGUACUUUAUAGACUGGUACUCCAAACCUAGAAAAACAGAUAAUGUGUACAGGUUUGGCUGUGUUUGUGACAAGCCUUUCAAGCUGUUUGAACUGUACGGCUCUCCUUUUAUUUGACUCCGAAAAGGAAUCUUAAUGCUGAAAUGCAGUUGUUUCAUCUAGUUAGUCUAGAGAAUCUGACGAAUUGUGACAGUACUGUGGACAGCACAGCAGAUUUGUAAGGUGCCUUUAUAGGAGCAGAAAUACCCAACAGUGACCGAAAAUGGAUCUCUAGUGUCUGCUGUAAUAUAGAAAAAAACCCACUUAUUUAUCAAUUUUUAAAUUAAUCAAAAUGAGUAAUUGCCAUAGCAUUCUUGUCACUUUGUAUUAUCUUCAGUACCAAUACUAAGUUUGAUCAUUGUCCCUCCUUGGUGCCAGGAAGGAAGGUAGAUGUAUGCAAGAUGGAAUAAAUUAUCUUCCUUGAUCUAAUGUCUUCUCACAGAUUAGAGGUGUUAUUGAGAAUCUCUUGUUAAAUCUUGAUAAGAUCAUUUGGCCAAAACAGAACUGGCAAUGGCCUUACUACCAAAAUAAAAAGCAUUUUUAAGGCCUUGGAUUUCCUUUGCACACCACGUGUCUGAGUUUGAUACAGUCCAGGAAAAUAGAGAGGAUGAGAGAAAAUUAUUCCUAAGCAGCCGCCGUAGGCCAAACACUGAAACAGUGCCAGCCCGGACCAAUCAGGGGGGCUUCUUAGGAGAUGUGUGCUUUGCUGAGCUCUUCUGUGAAGAGAAGAGGGAGGAAGCCCUUGAAACUGCAUUAGGAUGAAUGAGUCUUCACUAAUUUCAGCAAAGUCCAUGGCAGUGAAUUUGAUAACUUCUUCCUUCUGUAGACAUCUGAGGUUCCCAGGCCAGCAGAGACUCCCUUGUCAUCGCACUGACACAUCUUUUGAACAAAAGUAUCUUUCUGAGUUUAAACAAGUGAAAAACUUCUCAUAGAGAGCAAAGAGUAAAAUUAAUGGAAACUCAAAAUCAAUUCCAACCCCAUUUCUGGCAUGAUGAGAGUAACAUUUGUGCUGUGUUUAAAGCAGUUUAACACAAGAAAAUGAUAAAGUGAUCAAUAUACUUAAAGCCAAAAUUAACCAGGAGAGAACAAUCUGCAAUCCGUUCCCAGCCCGAAACUCUACACUUUAGAUUAAACACGAAAUAAAUGAGUAUAUAUUUUACAGAGUGGUACUAUAAGCCUUAUAACAUAAACAGCAAUGCUGAGAUGCCAGCUAGCCAGUGUAUUAUUUAAGCUAUGUUUUCAGAGCUUGGGAUAAACAUUUCUGGAGCUAAAGAAUUGUGCAUUUAUUUAUCCGCAUGCACAUACUAUGACCAUAAAAAGAACAAAAGUUAAAAGGUAUGUGCAUUGUCAGUAGAGUACAUUGCCACUCUACAGCCUUCAUACU
rnacentral:lncRNA from 1 species